rnacentral:lncRNA from 1 species
CUCUUUCCCUCUGUUUCCUCUCCUCCUUUCACCGCACACGGUUCUCGAGCCCGACCAAAACGGUUGUGGGGAGCAGAGAACAUGGGUUGGGCGAGGGGUGUCACCAUUGUCGACCUCGGGUGUUAACCAUCCUCGAACCAUCGAUUCGCGUGGAGGGGCGAGUACCGACAUCCGUCUCGCAUUUCCCCGCUAUCAUCCGAGCAUUAAGGGUGACCGUAGGGCAAUAAAUUGCUCACCGGCGUCGUGAAUUCGGCAGAGCACCGCCGUGCGUCGUGGGCAUGAACUCCUGGAGCCUAAUCACCGGUAAGACCUUGCCCCGUGGACUCGCCCCAACCCCCGCUACGCGUAGCACCAUAGGGAUCAGGUUCGUUGUGUAGGUUACGAGAUCCGGGAAUGGUGGCAAUGGCGCCGCCGUGGUUUGCCCAGGCUUUGCCGCUGGCGUGAUCCCGUGAGGAAGAAAGCGCCUGGACCGUCCAUCUAUUGCUCGACGGCUAGAUUUAGACCUAAGUGUACCCUUUCGCUGCGUGUGAUCCAUGCCAUCGAUUCAUCCGCGGGCGGCUACGAUUAGAUCCUGCCAUCAUCGAUUCUGGAUCGUGGGAUCGAAAUGGGCGGAUCAGAUUAGAUGUUCGCGUACCCCUUCAGCUUUCUAAUCUCAGCCCUGAAUUCGGGAUCGGGAGGCUCGGAUGAAAUCUAGCUCUCGGUCGCAGGGAUAUUUGUUAAAGAACCCUUGGAUGUUUCCGAAAAUAACCCGCCAUCCCUGUCUGGUUGAAUACAAUUACGGUUAGAUCCUCGGAUUUUACAAAACAGCCCUUGAUGUUAUAAAAUAUUUCUGGAAAUUGUUUUUGCUGUAAAAAUAAAUCUAGAACCUUAGAAAAUCCAUAUCUCCUUCGUCUUAACUUCUUUUUGAUCCAUUCCAGUUGCAUUAAUCUCAUAUUAAAAUUGUUUAUCAUCUAAUGACAAUAUUUAGUCAUGAAACAUAGAUUAAAAUUAUGCAGUUAGUUUAUUAUAUAUUGAACACCUAAAUUUUCAGAAAAUCAUAACUCUUUAACCGUAAUUCCGAUUUUAGUGUUUCUCGAACCUGCGAUCUUGUUACGACGCGUAGAAUAUUAUUAUGCAGUUUGUGCUUAUGUUUGGUGUGAUGUUAAUUUUGUCUAUAUCAUGUUUGUUUGUAUUGCUACGAAUAGAAGUGAAGUCACGAGAAUCUAAAGAUCAUCUUGGUACCUGGAAUCUCGAGUCUAAGGCAAGUUGUGUCCUUGAUCACUUUUCUUAACCAAAUAAUGUUCUUGGUAAUCACUGUGACAUGCUCAGGUUAAUUUGAUGGGACCUAAUAGGAUUCCCUAGCAUUGUGUAUCCCCACCUAUAAACAGAUGAAUUAUUGGGUAGAUUUGCUAUUGCUCUACCUGGCUUUGGUAAACUAAUGUUUUAUUACGAUCAUGUUCCAAUUAUGUUGUUGUUUAAUUAUUAUUUAUGAUAAGAUCAUAUUGUUAAUUGGAACAUGGAGCGAAGGGAGUCCCAUUCCACCCUUGUGGUAGCACUAUUUUCCCGGGUGGUCUCUCCAUGUUCAAUUUAAUAUAAUAAUAU